UGUGAUUCUUUCCCUUCUUUUAAUAACAAAUAUAUAUUUUACAAUUAAUAAAAAUAAAAAAAAAACAAAUCGCGAUGACUUUACGUAAACCAAUCGGCACCUGUACCACCUACAGAUAUAUCAUAACAUUAACUUAUUACGUGUACAAUGGUUAAUGAAUAAUAAUAAUAAUAAUCGAAUGGUCGCCGACUAAAACUUUCAUUUACCAAUCGAAUCGUUCGAGCAAGUGAAGUUUUAACAAACAUUGUGACAUCGUAAAAAAUAAUAAUUUUUAAACAAAAUUUUGCGUAUAAUAUCAUCGCUCGCGUGUGCAAUGGUAUCUUUGUAUCGUUAUGUCGGUGCUGGUUGAGAUAUAAUAACCGAGAAUCAAAGGAUAGAAAAAAAAAGGAGAAGAAUCGCGACGGAUUUAUAUACAGUGUGCACCGACAUCACCGUGUAUAAUAGUGACGAAUCGUGUGCGGUACAAGGAAGUUAAUUUGUUAUUCGACGUAUAAAACGUUCCUAUAACGACGUAAAAUGAUGAUAAUAAUUAUAUAUACGAAAGUGAGACAGUGGAUAUAAUGAAAUAAAAGUGAAGAUAUAUAUAUA
rnacentral:lncRNA from 1 species